ACCUGGUUGAUCCUGCCAGUAGUCAUAUGCUUGUCUCAAAGAUUAAGCCAUGCAUGUCUAAGUACACGCCCUAGCAAGGCGAAACCGCGAAUGGCUCAUUAAAUCAGUUCCUUAGAUCGUACACAUUUACUUGGAUAACUGUGGUAAUUCUAGAGCUAAUACAUGCAAUUGAGCCCUCGUCCCUUUUAGGGUGAUUGUGCUUUUAUUAGACCAAGACCAAACGGGGGCAACUCCGAUAGUCGUGGUGAAUCUGAAUAACUAUGGCGGAUCGCACAGUCCUAGCACUGGCGACGCAUCUUUCAAGUGUCUGCCUUAUCAACUUUCGAUGGUAGGUUAUGCGCCUACCAUGGUUGUUAAGGGUAACGGGGAAUCAGGGUUCGAUUCCGGAGAGGGAGCCUGAGAAACGGCUACCACAUCCAAGGAAGGCAGCAGGCGCGCAAAUUACCCACUCCCGGCACGGGGAGGUAGUGACGAAAAAUAACAAUACGGGACUCUAACGAGGCUCCGUAAUUGGAAUGAGUACACUCUAAACCUUUUAACGAGGAUCUAUUGGAGGGCAAGUCUAGUGCCAGCAGCCGCGGUAACUCUAGCUCCAAUAGCGUAUAUUAAAGUUGUUGCGGUUAAAAAGCUCGUAGUUGGAUCUCAGUCGCGUUCCCUUCGAUGCGUUGCAAAGCGUCUAUCGUUGGGGCCGACAGCACGUUGGUGGGCCCGGUUGAUCGGGUUCUCCGGCAAUUUUACUUUGAAAAAAUUAGGAUGCUCAAAGCAGGCUGGUGCCUGGAUAUUGGUGCAUGGAAUAAUGGUACAGCCUGCUCCACGCUGACAAGGGCCAAACAGCCCGAAAAUGUUCGUGGAAGCUUUUCUUGAUUUAUCAAGAAAAUGGGCUGGUCAAAUAUCAGGGAACAGGCUAACUCAACGUUUGGUUGAUUUAUGUUUCACUAGAUGGCGCUCUGCCAUCUAAAAAGCACACGUGCUCGUGAUCACGAAAUGCCUUCUUUGUUUUUAAUAUCAACACCUGACCUUUUCUAUUUUUUCUAUUGUUUUUACACACACAUAUACACACUUGUAUAUAUAUAUAGGUAGUGUACAACUAUAUCUCAUCCAGUUUACACUCAACAAUUGACACAAACUAAGCGAUUUCCAUUAGUAACCACAAUUAUAUUCAUAUACAUACAUUUUAAAUCUAG